rnacentral:lncRNA from 1 species
CGCCGUAGCGCGACAGCCGCACGCCGUGGGUGAGCGACUCGAGGUGGUCGCCGACGCUCUUCUCGUCCCGGACGCCGAGGCCCUCCAGCGUCAUCUUCUCCACCAUCCGCUCCACCUUCAGCAUGUUCUUGGCAAAACGAGACGAUCGUGUCACUGGACCGAAUUGCCGUGACAAAUUAAACAACAAGAUGCGUUUGAGAACCCUGGAAGAUGAUAUGGAAUGGGCAGGAAUCAUAUUGGUGGUUUACCAGAAUUCCUGGUUGCCCUGCUGCGGCCAGAGAAGGCUCGCGAAGUCGCGGACGCUGCCGGCGUCGGCGGCCUCCGCGACGCGGAUGCUCUCUGCCAUGGCCAUGCCGGGAACGCCACUGAUGUAGCCGUUGAACGGGCCCCAGCGGGAGUCGUUCCGCUGCUUGGCCUCCAGCGGCAGCGCGAAGACCUCCGGCAUGGCGCGGCAGAACAGCGCCCGCCGGAGCUCCGGGCCGAGCGCGUCGUGCGCGACCACGACGCAGCCGUGCGCCACCAUGGACGCGGUCACCGCGGCCCGGGCUUCCUCCCACCCUGGCCCGCCGGGCUCCAGCCCGCGGAGGUCGAUCUUAGGGAUCUCCAUGGACUUCCGCAGCUUUGCUGAAUCCGCUUUGGUUUUAUGUUGCAUCUGGCUUCGCGCUAUGAG